AGUGUGGCAGAAUCGGCCAUGCAGAAAACCUAAACCUUUCACACUGGGGUUCAAAUCCCCCCACUAACU
rnacentral:tRNA from 1 species